AGAGCCCCAACCAGACUGUCUUGUGAAUCUGGACAAGAUGGCCCUUCUUGAGUCAGUCUGGACUCCAGACUGAGGUGCACUAAAGCCAAGAGAGAGCGGGCUCCAGCAUCUACCGUAUCUCUUCCUACAUAGUGUAAGCAGAGAAUGCCAGUUGGAAUCCUUUUGUUUCUUCUUCUUGCCAACUUUCUUCCUAGAACGUCCAACUCACUGUUGAAAAGAAAUAUCUCUCGAAGGUGGUAUCCUCGACUUCCUGUUCAUCUGUGGGCUUUCAUGGGUGUCCUCUAUCGGCAGGAGGUGUGUUCUCUUUUUGGUUCUCCCUCAACAACUGUUUUCCUUAUGAAGAGGCACUAGAUUUAUGUACCCCAUACUUUUUCUGUGUCUAUUGGGAUGGCCAUGUGUUUUUAAAACAUUUAUCUC
rnacentral:lncRNA from 1 species